UACCCCCUAGUGUGUGUUAAUGGUCUGAUCAGCCACUAUUUAAGUUCCCCUCAUGUCUUGUUUGUUAGGUCAGUUUGUGCUUGAGUUUGUUCUGUUACCACUUGAGUUGUAUUUUGUUAUGUUGACCUCAGUUUGGGCCCAAUUUAUCAUUUUUGGAUUCUUUUUGUUAAUAAAUUAAGAUUAUAUUUUGAAUUUUCAUCAACGUCUCUCUGGCUGGUCUAUGCAAAACCUUCACACUUGGUGUCAGAAGUGGGAUUCUUACCAGCCAGGAGUACAAAGUUUUUUUUUCCAUUACCAACCUUGAUGCAACAUGCAGCGUGGAGGAAGGAGUAAACGAGGCAAUUUUGUGGAGUCUCAAGGAACAGCAGGCCCUGAUGAGCGGACUGAUUGCACCGAAGCAGGAGCAUCUGGAGGACAUGUAGGUACCGAGGAGGAAGGGGGAGAAGAACCAACUUAUGCAGAUCUUGUCAGUAUUCUUCGUGCCCACAUGAGCCAGCAGGAGGCACAGAAUAGAAUGAUGAGAGAGGAAACAGCUCGCCAAGAUCAACGGUUCAAGACUCUCCAGCACCAAUUUAGUCUUUUGCAGUUAGAAGUGCAAGCUCGUACUUCUCCAACAUCUGAACCUGCUAAGCUGGAAAACUCUGACUCGGAGGAACCAGAACCACAGGAUAAAAACCUGCUGCCAGGAGACCGUAAAGUCAUCUUAACUUCAGGUCAGUUUGUGCUUGAGUUUGUUCUGUUACCACUUGAGUUGUAUUUUGUUAUGUUGACCUCAGUUUGGGCCCAAUUUAUCAUUUUUGGAUUCUUUUUGUUAAUAAAUUAAGAUUAUAUUUUGAAUUUUCA